rnacentral:rRNA from 1 species
UGGGGAAUUUUCCGCAAUGGGCGCAAGCCUGACGGAGCAACGCCGCGUGAGGGAGGAAGGCCUUAGGGUUGUAAACCUCUUUUCUCUGGGAAGAAGCUCUGACGGUACCAGAGGAAUAAGCCUCGGCUAACUCCGUGCCAGCAGCCGCGGUAAGACGGAGGAGGCAAGCGUUAUCCGGAAUUAUUGGGCGUAAAGCGUCCGCAGGUGGUUUUUCAAGUCCGCUGUCAAAGACCGGAGCUUAACUCCGGAGAGGCAGUAGAAACUGAGAGACUAGAGUUCGGUAGGGGUAGAGGGAAUUCCCAGUGUAGCGGUGAAAUGCGUAGAGAUUGGGAAGAACACCAGUGGCGAAAGCGCUCUACUGGGCCGAAACUGACACUCACAGGACGAAAGCUAGGGGAGCGAAAGGGAUUAGAUACCCCCGUAGUCC